rnacentral:rRNA from 1 species
GUGCAGCAGGCGCGAAUUUUUCACAAUGGACGAAAGUCUGAUGGAGCGACGCCGCGUGGAGGAUGAAGGUUUUCGGAUUGUAAACUCCUGUCACUGCAGAACAAGGAUACGUCAGUUAACAGCCGACGUAUUUGAUGGUAUGCGGAGAGGGAGGGACGGCUAACUCUGUGCCAGCAGCCGCGGCAAGACAGAGGUCCCGAGCGUUGUUCGGAUUCAUUGGGCGUAAAGGGUGUGUAGGAGGUCGGGUAAGUCAGGUGUGAAAUCUCAGAGCUUAACUCUGAAACUGCGCUUGAUACUGCCCGGCUAGAGGAUCGGAGGGGGUAUCGGGAUUUAUGGUGUAGCAGUGAAAUGCGUAGAUAUCAUAAGGAACACCGGUGGCGAGGGCGGAUACCUGGAAGAUUCCUGACUCUGAAACACGAAAGCCAGGGAGCAAACGGGAUUAGAUACCCGUGUAGU